rnacentral:tRNA from 1 species
GCGGGCGUAACUCAGUGGUAGAGUGCUUGCUUCCCAAGCAAGACGUCGAGAGUUCGAAUCUCUUCGCCCGCUCCA